rnacentral:lncRNA from 1 species
UACAGGAGCGUGAAAUCAGUUUGAUGGGAAGUGACAAUUUUCUUGACAGAGAACUUAACAGAGUUGGGCUUUGUAUCUCAAGACUUGAAACGAAGUGGAGUCAAUAUUGACCCAGAGGUUUGCCAGUUUGUGAUUUCAGUGAAUGGGCUCAACGUUCUCCAUGCGGAUUACAGGACUGUGAGCAACCUCAUCUUAACUGGUCCUCGGACCAUCGUCAUGGAAGUGAUGGAAGAAAUUGAGCCCUGAGAUGGAUGCUUGACCUGCUGCACCACCGUUAUGGAUUCAGCCCCUGUGCAAACACAAGCAACAUUAUAGAAGGGGAUAAAAACACACUUUAUCUCAGAGAUCAAUUUUGCCUUCUAAGUACUUUUGUCUCCUCUUUAAUAAUUGGGUUUUUCAAUGGAUGUAGUCUAAGACCAUGGGUAUGCAUUGACAUGGUUGUGAAAAAGGUGAAACAAAAAUCUGAAGUUUAUUGGAGAACUGAUAUUAUAAAAUGAAGUAGAGGUGGGUCCUUCUCUCCAGCCCUCUCCCAAUAUUUGGGUUGAAAAAGGAAUGAUUUGAUCUAAUCUUUAUAUUCCUCCAGUGGCUUCACUGCAGAUCUGUUUGAUCAAGCUGCACCUGUUAGACAGAAGAAAGAUGAAGCUUUUCUUUAAUCUCUUUUAGCUUGGAAAAAUCUAUUGCCUUUUUUUUGUUUAAAGUUGGUGUUUAAAUUCAUGAGCUAUGUAGCUGUUAGAUUGAACAAUUAAAACCUCAGGUUUUAAACCUUGUUUCUGGCAAGGAGAAAGGAAGAAUCCAUUUAGUUUGCAUUUUAAUAUGAACUUUCCUAAGUCUUUAGUUGGAAAUUAGGAAAGAACUGAAACUUGGCUAACAUUCUGAAUGGGCACCUUUCCAAUGUUUGCAAUGCAACAUUUAAAAAAAAGGUUAUUAAGGGAAGUCUAUGCAAAGUGCAUAUAAAACAGUAAAGCUCAUAGAUACAUUGACUGAUGGAAAAUUACUUGCAGAAAGUGCUGACAUUAGCAAAAUUGCAAAGAAAAAUAACAAGGUUUUGAAGAAAUGUCGACGUAAAUUCACUCAAGUCUUGCUAUUAGCUUUUUGAAAAUACAGGUAGUUCUUGACUU